rnacentral:rRNA from 1 species
AUACGGUGAACUGCGAAUGGCUCAUUAAAUCAGUUAUCGUUUAUUUGAUAGUACCUUACUACAUGGAUAACCGUGGUAAUUCUAGAGCUAAUACAUGCUAAAAACCCCGACUUCGGAAGGGGUGUAUUUAUUAGAUAAAAAACCAAUGCCCUUCGGGGCUCCUUGGUGAAUCAUAAUAACUUAACGAAUCGCAUGGCCUUGCGCCGGCGAUGGUUCAUUCAAAUUUCUGCCCUAUCAACUUUCGAUGGUAGGAUAGUGGCCUACCAUGGUAUCAACGGGUAACGGGGAAUUAGGGUUCGACUCCGGAGAGGGAGCCUGAGAAACGGCUACCACAUCCAAGGAAGGCAGCAGGCGCGCAAAUUACCCAAUCCCGACACGGGGAGGUAGUGACAAUAAAUACUGAUACAGGGCUCUUUUGGGUCUUGUAAUUGGAAUGAGUACAAUUUAAAUCCCUUAACGAGGAACAAUUGGAGGGCAAGUCUGGUGCCAGCAGCCGCGGUAAUUCCAGCUCCAAUAGCGUAUAUUAAAGUUGUUGCAGUUAAAAAGCUCGUAGUUGAACCUUGGGCCUGGCUGGCCGGUCCGCCUCACCGCGUGUACUGGUCCGGCCGGGCCUUUCCUUCUGGGGAACCUCAUGCCCUUCACUGGGCGUGCUGGGGAACCAGGACUUUUACUUUGAAAAAAUUAGAGUGUUCAAAGCAGGCCUUUGCUCGAAUACAUUAGCAUGGAAUAAUAGAAUAGGACGUGUGGUUCUAUUUUGUUGGUUUCUAGGACCGCCGUAAUGAUUAAUAGGGAUAGUCGGGGGCAUCAGUAUUCAAGCGUCAGAGGUGAAAUUCUUGGAUUGCUUGAAGACUAACUACUGCGAAAGCAUUUGCCAAGGAUGUUUUCAUUAAUCAGUGAACGAAAGUUAGGGGAUCGAAGACGAUCAGAUACCGUCGUAGUCUUAACCAUAAACUAUGCCGACUAGGGAUCGGACGGUGUUAGUAUUUUGACCCGUUCGGCACCUUACGAGAAAUCAAAGU